GACGAACGCUGGCGGCGUGCCUAACACAUGCAAGUCGAACGAAGUGGCGAACGGGUGAGUAACGCGUAAUCAACCUGCUCUUCUGCGGGGGAUAACAGUUGGAAACGACUGCUAAUACCGCAUAUGGAAGGAGGGGAUGGUGGCUGAUUGGCUGGUUGGAGGGGUAAUGGCCAACCAAGGCGAUGAUCAGUAGGCGGGCUGGGGGGGUGGACGGCCACAAUGGGAAUGGGGCACGGCCCAGACUCCUAAGGGGGGCAGCAAGGGGGGAUCUUCCGCAAUGGACGGAAGUCUGGCGGAGCAAAGCCGCGUGAGUGAUGACGGCCUUCGGGUUGUAAAGCUCUGUUAAUCGGGAAGCGGUACCGGAAUAGAAAGCCACGGCUAACUACGUGCCAGCAGCCGCGGUAAUUC
rnacentral:rRNA from 1 species